CUCGAAUCAUGUUUUUUUUUAUAUUUAUUGUUUCAAAUAAAUUUUACUAUAUUUUGUGUCAAACAAAGUGUCUUUGUACUAAAGUAAUGACUUCAACUUAAUCUAAAAAGUUGGGUUGUUACAUACCUCUUAAUGAUGGAAAUUAUUUGAGGAAAGAAAUAAGGCAGAAUGAAGAAGAGGAUUUCUAGGAAAUUGAGAGAG
rnacentral:lncRNA from 1 species